GUGGGAAAUUGCACAAUGGGCGCAAGCCUGAUCCAGCCAUGCCGCGUGCAGGAAGAAUGCCCUAUGGGUUGUAAACUGCUUUUAUACGGGAAGAAACACUCCUACGUGUAGGGGCUUGACGGUACCGUAAGAAUAAGCACCGGCUAACUCCGUGCCAGCAGCCGCGGUAAUAUAAU
rnacentral:rRNA from 1 species